CCCUUAGAUGUUCUGGGCCGCACGCGCGCUACACUGAUGCAUUCAACGAGUUUCUUCCUGGUCCGAGAGGAAUGGGUAACCUUUUGAAAGUGCAUCGUGAUAGGGAUAGACUAUUGCAAUUAUUGGUCUUCAACGAGGAAUUCCUAGUAGACGUAGUUCAUCAGACUGCAUCGAUUACGUCCCUGCCCUUUGUACACACCGCCCGUCGCUCCUACCGAUUGAAUGCUCAGGUGAGCCAUUCGGACUUUCAUCAUGCUGGUUUCCAGUUUUGAUGAAGGAAAGUCUUGUGAACCUUAUCAUUUAGAGGAAGGAGAAGUCGUAACA
rnacentral:rRNA from 1 species